rnacentral:tRNA from 1 species
GGGGGUGCGCCGCAGGUGGAGAGGCGGGCCAGACUGUAAAUCUGGUGUCUUUGACUGAGUUGGUUCGAAUCCAUCCACCCCCACAA